rnacentral:siRNA from 1 species
GUUUGGCGGGAAAGUGUAUAGGUU